GGAGCAGUGGGAGUUGUAUGCCGUGACAAAUUUGGCAAGUUUUUAGGUGCUUCUGCGAUGGUUUUUUAUGGCCUCACCGACCCGAGUCUGGAGGCACAUGCAUGCAGCGAAGCACUAGCUCUAGCCCGGGAUUUGAAUCUACAUGAUCUCACCAUUGCCUCAGAUUGUGCAGAAGUGAUUUCUAACAUCAAAUCUGCAGGUGUUCCAUCUUAUGCUCCUAUUCUUCGAGAGAUUCAAACUAGUAGCAAUAAUUUUUCUUCUGUUGAUUUCCGUUUCGAGGGUAGAGACAAUAAUUUUAAGGCCCACUUGCUAGUUAAGGGAGCUGCGUUUCUCGCAGUGGGCCGCCAUGUGUGGCUAGGGGUUCUGCCGAAGAUUGCUUGUAUUCCGAAUGUCGUGAACUCUCUAGUUUACCUUAAAAAAAGUUUUCGCCCAAGUUUUUUUGAUGGAUGCCUAAGUUUUCGCCCAAAAGCGGCAGCGGCCAGCGCAAAAUUUGAACGAAACCGCCGCGCCGGCCGCCGGAGCCCGAGCUACUCGAUACUCCCGUGUCCAGUCCAAUCAGCCGCCUCUCCACUCACAGCUGCACACACGCCGCCACGAUUCAAGGCCGCCGCCCGCUAG
rnacentral:rRNA from 1 species